AGAGGGUGAAACUCCCGUCCGCCUGGUAGAAUGAGUCUUUGUCAACGAGUCGAGUUGUUUGGGAUUGCAGCUCUAAUUUGGUGGUAAAUUCCAUCUAAAGCUAAAUAUUGGUGGGAGACUGAUAGCGUACAAGUACCGUGAGGGAAAGAUGCAAAGAAUUUUGAAAAGAGAGUUAAAGAGUGCCUGAAAUUGCUGAAACGGAAACGAGGAAACCAGUGUUUGUUGGUUCAUAUUUCCUUGGCCACUUGUGGUUUGGGCGCUGUGAGCUUGCGUGGGUUUGGGUUGGUUGAUCCCUUUGGAAGAGCGCAGUCAGAGUUGAUGUCU
rnacentral:rRNA from 1 species